rnacentral:rRNA from 1 species
GACGAACGCUGGCGGCGUGCUUAACACAUGCAAGUCGAACGGAGUGGCGAACGGGUGAGUAUCACGUGGGUGAGCUGCCCUGCACUUCGGGAAACGCCUGGGAAACCGUUGCUAAUACCGGAUAUUGUGGGAUGGGCCCGCGGGCUAUCAUCUUGUUGGUGGGGUAAUGGCCUACCAAGGCGGCGACGGGUAGCAGACAUGAGAGGGUGGACGGCAUCAUGGGGACGUAGAAACGACGCAGGCUCGUACGGGGGACAAGAGUGGGGAAUAGUUCACAAUGGGCGGAAGUCUGAUGCAGCGGCGCCGCGUGGGGGAUGACGGCCUUCGGGUUGGAAACUCUUUGCACCAUCGACGCGGUAAGUGGAGAAGAAGCACCGGCUAACUACGUGCCAGCAGCCGCGGUAAUUC